UCUCUCGGAUUGACGGUAGGUGGAGAAGAAGCACUGGCCAACUACGUGCCAGCAGCCGCGGUAAUACGUAGGGUGCGAGCGUUGUCCGGAAUUACUGGGCGUAAAGAGCUCGUAGGUGGUUUGUCGCGUUGUUCGUGAAAUCUCACGGCUUAACUGUGAGCGUGCGGGCGAUACGGGCAGACUAGAGUACUGCAGGGGAGACUGGAAUUCCUGGUGUAGCGGUGGAAUGCGCAGAUAUCAGGAGGAACACCGGUGGCGAAGGCGGGUCUCUGGGCAGUAACUGACGCUGAGGAGCGAAAGCGUGGGGAGCGAACAGGAUUAGAUACCCUGGUAGUCCACGCCGUAAACGGUGGGUACUAGGUGUGGGUUUCCUUCCUU
rnacentral:rRNA from 1 species